GUCUUCGUGGUGUAGUGGUCAGCACGCUCGACGCGUAUUCGAGAGGUCCGUGGUUCGAGUCCCGGCGAGGACA
rnacentral:tRNA from 1 species